AUGACCAUCUCUAUCCUGAAUGCGGAACGUUGUGGUUCAGAAAGGGGAAAUAACUUGCUUGAGUUUGCACAACAAGCAAGGGGCCCAGCUGCUACUCUGAGUCACGGAUCUACUUCGAAAGCCACAGGAGGUUAAGUGACUUGCCCGAGACCCCAUGGCCAGGGAUUGAUGGGGCAGAGAUUUGAAUUCUCAUGGCUCUGACUCUAAAGCUCUUUUCCUACUUUGACCGCUACUUCACACCAUUUUUAAGAGCUGCCCCUCCAGUUUCUGUGUUGGGUGCUUGGUGCCUCCCUAGAAGUGAAAAAUCCACGUGGCCAGCAUGGAGGAGGAGUGGACGCUAGGGAGCAACGCAGACUGCAUCCCGGAAAGGCUGCGUCGUGAAGAAACGUCUCUUGUCCGUCUCUUUCCUGUUGCCUCAGCGGGAUCUCAUUGAAGAGAGCAAGAGAGGAAGAGAGAGAGAGAGGGGAGAGAGGAGACACCGGGAGAAGCUCUUGAAAAAUGUCAAGGAAGCAGUUAUGCCAACAAGAUGGGAGUUCGACAGUGAGGCUGAGGUCUGGGCUGAAGACAUCCAUUUGGAAAGUCGCUAAAGCCAUGGGAAUGGGAUCCCUUACAUACUGGAGAGGAGCAGAGAAUUCUGAACUCAUCUUUCCUGAGAGGGUGCUUCUGGUGAGCUAGCUCCCCAAGUCUGAGAACCACAGCUCCUCUGAAGCUUGGAAUUCAAUUGCCCCAACAGCGAGGAGCCUUGGGGUGAAUGGCAGCCGAGAAGAGCAGAGUGGAGACCACCCCAGCUCGUCUGACAGAUGCCCAGCCUUCAGCCUUCUUCCACCUUGCUCUGUCUUCUGAGAGCAGAGCUGAAGCCCCAAGACACCACCUGGAGCAAGCAGCUGAAAGGCCAGUGGCUGGGGAUGGGCAGGGGGAGGGGGGACAGGGGGCCGGGACUGCCACAGGCUUGGGUGGGAGGCAGAGGGGAAGGAGCACGGAGGGAGACAAGGUCCAAGGCUGACCCGCAGAGAAGGAGACUCGAGUUCGGGUGUAGGGAAGGCUGGAAGGCUCUGUCCCAAGUGUGCCUGAGGUGUGGGUUCAAGACCUCUGCUUGGAGUGACCCCUGGCAUGGGGGUGGGGAGAGGUCCCCAGAAGGAGCCCAACCAGUUCAGAGCAGCUCUGAGGGUGCCCAGAGUUGGCAGGAACUCAGCCCCUCCUAUGUCUUGUUGUACUGGUCUCUGGACUCAGUGAGGCUCAAAUUACUCAGUCCCGCCUCAAGAUUAAAAAGGAAGAGUUGUAAGCGGUCCCACUGACUCCUGAGUUCUGCUUGGAGUGGCUCCGCAGCUGCUCCAGGGGAAGUCAAGGGGCAUCCCACCUGGGGAUUCAGACAGAAGGGGCCUGUAUGUGUAAAUGCUGUUUCCUGUGGCCAAUUUUGGUGUUGGAAGGGGUAUAUUUGUUAAAUUCUAGUCGAUAUCCAAGGGGCCCUGUGUUUACUCCAUUAGGAAACCAGAUAGAGCUAAUCAAUGCUAGAAGGAGUGUAGUUAACUCCUGAGGAAAGACAAAUAUAAACAGCAGCAUUCAAAUCGAUGUAAAAUGCACCCCCACCCCAACUGUAUUUGCUUAGGGUGGCCGCCAGCAGGCCUGUGCAGCAAGCUCGGGCUGUCCGGGGAGGCAGGCUUCUCCCUGGGGGCCAGGGCUGAACAGGGGACCACCUGGCAGUCGGAGUCCUGCUGCCUUCUGAGCCAAUUCAGGUUCCACAGUAGCUGUGGGCCUUGGGCAAAUCAGGGGGCCUCCCAGACCCUCAGUGUCUUCAUCAGAAUGGCAAUCAGUAAUACUGAAGUGUAUUUCCAGCUCAUCAAAGGGUUUGAUGAUCUUGCUUGGUAUUCAUCACCUUUUGAGGUGGAUAUCAUUUCACUAUUUCCACUCUGCAGAUAAAGAGAAUGCCACUCAGAAAUUAAGGACUUCACUAAGGCCUCAGGCAGAGGGCAUAGGAGAGUCUUAAAUCCAAGUCCAGCGACCUCAAGCCCCAUAUGCUUUCCUCUAGGCCUUACCAUUCUGUGAAGGACUUUCUGUCAUACUACCUGAUGGGAUCCACAUAACCCCAUGAAAUAGUUGGUAUUUUACUACCUAUUUGCCAAUUAAGAAGUAAAAUCCUGAGGCUGGUCCAAGGUCACAUAGAUUGUCCGAAUUCAACCCCUGCUUGUUCAAGAUCGUGGUCCCUCUGUCCAGGGUGGGAUUUGGGAUAGCUGAUACCCGAUGUCUUUUCUAGGCAAACCAUGCUGAGAUGCUUUAAUGUUCUUUCCCAAGCAAACCCUCUUAGAGACUUCCUUUCUCCCAUAUGACCAUCAUCACCGAUAAAGUCCAGUGCCUCUGGUGGAAGGGCAGACGGGAGGCGGCACAGAAAGGCCCCGAAAGUAGCCACCCUCUCUCCAUCGCGUUUUCUGCUGCCGCACCUCCUCCCUCUCCAGCUGAGGAAUAUCCUUUUCCGGUCUGGCGACAGUCCUUCAGGAGCCGCCAUUCCCGCAUCUGUCCCUUUAAGACCUCUGCAGAGAUGGUCGUGAAGUUCACCGACCAGCUCCCUGGAACCAUUGCUGGGCAUCAGAUCUGGGGCUCUGUGACCCUUAUUAGCUCCCCCAGGCUGGGGAAGCGUAUUUCACACGCAGCCAAACACUGCUCCCCAGGAUGAGUUCCGUAAGCCAUUAAACUCUGUUUGACUGUGAUUCUAAUUACUUCCAAGCUUGAGUCCCUUACCUGUGCAGGGGUGGCGAGUUCGAUCCAACUCUCAGGGGAGAUGCUCCAAGAUUUAGGAGAGAUUUCUCUACCUCCUUUGGAAAGGGGGGAGCAAUCAAUACAAUCCUCCUCCAACAUCAUUUCCUUCUAUUCAUUUUAUACCUUGCAUGGGGAUACCAGAAGAGUUAGCUGGGGCUCUCUGAUUAUUAUUAAUAGUGAUUUCUUACUUAUUUAUCUUUUUUAAAGCUUUUACCUAUUUAUUUGAGAGAGUGCAGGAGCAGGAGUGGGGAGGAAGAGCAGAGGGAGAGGGGGAAGCAGGCUCCCCACUGAGCAGGGAGCUCGAUACGGGGCUCGAUCCCAGGACCCUGGGAUCACGACCUGAGCCAAAGGCAGAGGCUUUAACCCACUGAGCCACCCAGGCGCCCCUGAUUUGUUACUUCUCUAGAUAGUUGUACAUGUAGUUUACCUAAAGCCUUCCCCCUCCUCAUGGCGCUAUCCGUCUACUCACUAUCAGUGUGGGGUAUGAGAUUAUUUUUAUUCCUGUCCUACAGACAGAGAAGCCAGAACUUAAGAAGUCCAUGUGACUUGUCCCAGGUCAUGAACUAGAAAGAAGCAAACAGAAUCUCCCCAGCCCUAGGUCUGGAGCUUUACUUGGGUCCCCAAGCUGUCCUUUGGAAUGUCGUAAAGGUGGCUCUUUAAUGCAAUGUUCUUGGGAUUCACAGUGUCUUUGGGGGGGGGGUCUGCUUCCAUUUUGUAGAAGAACCAGCUAUGGCUUGAGAGGCAAGAGGUCUUCAAGGGUGCAGGAAGCAUUAGGGUCUAUUCCCUGGAUACAGGGCAAGGCUUCUCACGCAGGAGGCUCCUGUCCAUGUUUGAUGUAUAAAUGAAUGAAUGAAUAAUUAACUAGCUAGAUCUCCACUUUCCCAAUUCUUCAUCAAACACGCCUCCCGGUAUACCUCUCUCAUCCCUGCACGUUCAUUGAUUGGAAAAUCUAAACAUCAGUUUCCAGCCUUAAGAGAAAACACCAGUGAGUGGGCCCUUUGCCGAGAAGAAAUGCAGAAGCAGUUUGGGAGGAAGGAGGAGAGAUGUUCCAGAUGAAGAAAUCGAGGCAGGGCCAUGCUGGGCGCCCAGGGAGCUGCCCUGGAUGCUUCCCUGACUUCCUGAUCCCUGGGGAGGAGGAGGCCCGUCCUUGCUGCAGGGCCCGGCGGACACGUCCGGCGCCUUUGGCGUCCAGCCAGAGCCCACGCUUCAGAACAGAGGAGGGCCACUAAGCAGGAAACGUGGCCGCCUCGUUCAGAACCUCUCCUGAAUUUCCUUGGUGACAAGCCACUCUUCAUAAACCCCAGAACUGCCCAGCAUCACCAGGGUGAGGCGAGCGACUCUGCGGAGAGGGAAAAACAAUUAGAAAUACAAUUAAUGUUAUAAAAGCUCGUCAUAAAUAUUUGAGUUCUCUCUCCGGAGAGGAGGGACAAGAUGACAGCUCGCAAUUCCUUGUAUUGACAAAAGAGGAAACAGUCCCUGAAACUGGUCAUUUGCCUGGGUAUUUUUAUCUAUCAGAUCCAAGAGUGGGAACAAGGGAAGCAUGAAUGAUUGGAUUAGCCGGCCGGCCUUUCGGUGCUUUUGCAGCAUCAGCACUAUGCCAUUACUGCAGCCCUCGGGCCGAUGCCGGCCUGCACACACCGACACACACCCGAGCCAGCGUGGGGCGGACAGGCUGCCCCACAGCUGGGCGGACGCGACCCCAGGCUCACACGCUGCGGUCCAAAGCGAGACCGGUGAACGUCCUCGGCCCAGGCCAGACGCAGAAAACCAUGAAGAUCCUUUCCUCAGAGCCCUUCCUCUGCACUCUUGGAGAAGACGGACAGAGCUGGAGGCAUCCUGUGACAUCUCCUCUCCCCGUCAAGGGCCCAAACCCCUCGUGAUGCCCUUUGAGUUGGUACCCUUGGCACCUUGGCCUUUCCUUCCAAGUGCCCAUUUGGUUGUUCCUUGGGUGGUCUUGGCUCCACAACGUGCUGGAUGCGGCGAGGCCUGUUCAUUUGGCAGCCCCAAGCCCUCCAGUGCCCAGGCUCUCCCUUCCCACUCCCUGCGACCCCUGGGUCCCUCCGUGCCUCCAGUGGGGCUGGUCGGGGGUCAGCGGGGCAGAGGGUGUGCACAGGAGUGGCGAGUGUCCUGUGCCGGGUGGGACAGAGCUCCCCCCUCCUCAGGCAUAUGCAACCACCUGGAACCUACACCCACCAGCAGGCAGCCCAGCUCCCUUUGCUGGGGGCACAGUGCCAGCAUGACAGAUGGGCCUGUGUGUCAGCUGCCAAGGGACCUCACACAAGAUCCAAAUAGGUCUCCAUUUUUGGAGGGCAGGACAGUCUCUCCUUUGCUCCCCUUCUUAAAGGCAGGAGCAGCCGACGAAACCAUCUCUGUACGGGAUACCUUCGUUCCUGUGUUGCACGCACUUCACUUACCCCCGUGACCGGCGCAGCUAAUGGGGACGACGGGAAGAUGGACAGGACACACUUGCCGCUGCCGGGAUUCACGCAUGCCUGCGUGUGUGCUGAGGAUGGGCACCUCUGCACUGAGUGGCAGAGGAUCUCCAAAUCCGCUUGCAGGGGUGUCGCCUUGGCUCUUCUCACAGAUGAUCGCACCGUGUCAGCUUGAUUACCCAAAAGUGGUGGGAAGCCCACUGCCUUGUGGGCCCCUCCUCCUUCGCUGGACAAUUUCAUUCUGUGAUACAAAAUCUGCAUCCAGAUUAAUUCCAGCUCUGCCCUGGAGCAACUGAGAACAAAUCUGCCUUCUCUCCCUCUAUGACAGCUCUUCAAAUACUUUAAAGUGAUGCUCACAUCCCCGAAGAGCCUUUGCUUCUCUAGGCUAAGUAUUUCCUGUCCCUUCGAUUCCCGCCGUCAUACCUUGAGUGACAUAGGACCCAGACGACUUGUUAGGAUUGUGUCGUGGAUUCUUUAAAAAAUAGGUGCUGAAAGCAGACAUGCCUGGGACAGAGUGACCUUCCUCCAGUGGGGUGGCCCGGAUGGAAGCCUGGUGUUCCCAGUCUCAGCAGCCGUCUGCUGCAUCCAAUCACCCACAUGUUUGGAUUAAACAGCAUUUACUGGAGUGGAAUGAUGUGAUGAGGAAUCAUCCUUGUUAAAAAUGGAUAUUAUUUUAGGAAAAUAGAUGUGACCUACUUUUGGUAAGGUCCUACAGCGAAGUCUCUGACAAAGCGAGGGUUUGAACCUAUUAUGGCUUUUGAUCGGUCCCAAGUCAAGCAGGCUUCCAUGACUGGAGAUGGAGUAGGAUGCUGGAAACGCAGGUGAUGUGCCUCUGUAGGUCUGUAUUUCCCUGGUGUGCAAGGUGAUCCGACAGCUGUCAACGGACCAUCCCUAGAGCGGGGUAUGGUCAGGGGCAGGCGUGAUGGUGGGGGACUUUCGCGCUCUGUUCUCUGAAUUCUUUUAUUGUUUGAUUAUUCUUAAGGAUACAACAUAUCUAAGUAAUUCCCACGUAUUUGAAAUACAAAUAAGAGGCUUAUGAUUUAGACAAUAGCUCCAAAUUGAAUAAAAUCCAAUGGCUGAGCUAAAAUGUAGUCAAGAAUAAAGAAAAGUCCCAAAUGGGAGAGGUGUAUGGCCUGGUGGCCAAGACCAUAAUCCCCUUAGAGCUCUGGAGCCUGGAUGUCAGUCACGGCACCACCCUUUGCUUGCUCUUGACCAUGGACAAAUCCAUCCCUCUUGUCCUCUAUUUCCUCAUUUGUAAAAUGGAAAUAAUCCUGUUUAGUACCCAUCUUACGCGUUAUGUUGGUCAAGAAUAAUGAGCUCCUUUGAUUUUUCUUUUGAUGGAAGUAUAAUUUACAUCAGUGCAAUGAUCUCUUUCCAGCACAGAUUUAUGAGUUUUGACAAAUGCAUAAAACCACUUCCACAGUACAGACAUAGAACAAUUCCAUCAACCCCUCCCCCACCACCCCCACCAAGUUCCCCUGCAUCCCUUGUCAUUUAACCACUGCCCACCCACAGCCCCUGGCAACCACGGAUCUGUUUUUUGUCCUCAUAGCUUGCGUUUCCCAGAAUAUCUCAUAAAUAUCAUUAUAUAGUAUAUAGUCUUUUGAGUCUGGUUUCUUCACUUAGAGGAAUAUAUUUGAAAUUCAUCCCCAUUGUUCAGUAAUUCAUUCUUCUUUAUUGCUGAGUGGGAUUCCAUUGCAUAUAAACCACAGUUUGUAUUUCUAUUCACUAGAGGAAGAACAUUGGGGUUGUUUCCAGUUUAGGGUGAUAAUGAAUAAAGUUUCUAUAAACCUCCACACACACGUUUGUGUGCACAGAAGUUCCUUCCGUAGUAAAUACUCAGUCCGGGAUUCCUAGGUCAUAUGACAGGCACACAUUUAACUAUAUAGGAAACGGCCAAACUCUUUUCCAAAAUGUCUCAAUCCUUUGCAUUCUCACCACAGAAGUAAAGUUCCGGGUGUCCCACGUCCUCGCCAGCACUUGGUAUUGCCUGGAAUUCAUUUAUGUAUUUCUGAUUUUAGCCUCUCUAAUAGGUCUUCAGUGGUAUCUCAUUGUAUUGUAAUUUGUAUGUCUCCGAUGACUAAAAAUAUUGCAUGUCUUUUCAUGGGGUUGUCUGCCAUCUGUGAAUCUUUUUCGGUAAAAUGUCUGUUGCUCA